GAGUUUGAUCAUGGCUCAGGAUGAACGCCAGCGGGAGGCUUAACACAUGCAAGUCGAGGGGCAGCACGGGAUAGCAAUAUUCUGGUGGCGACCGGCGCACGGGUGAGUAACACGUAUGCAACCUACCUCGUACAGGGGGAUAACCCGGAGAAAUUCGGACUAAUAUCCCAUAAUGAUAUUGAGAGGCAUCUUUUAAUAUUUAAAGCUCAGGCGGUACGGGAUGGGCAUGCGGAACAUUAGCUAGUUGGCAGGGUAACGGCCUACCAAGGCUGCGAUGUUUAGGGGACCUGAGAGGGUUAUCCCCCACACUGGUACUGAGACACGGACCAGACUCCUACGGGAGGCAGCGGUGAGGAAUAUUGGUCAAUGGGCGCAAGCCUGAACCAGCCAUCCCGCGUGAAGGAAGAAGGCGCUAUGCGUUGUAAACUUCUUUUCCAGGGGGAGAAUUUUUCCGUCGUGACGGGAAUUGACGGUACUCUGGGAAUAAGCAUCGGCUAACUCCGUGCCAGCAGCCGCGGUAAUACGGAGGAUGCGAGCGUUAUCCGGAUUUAUUGGGUUUAAAGGGUGCGUAGGCGGAUAGAUAAGUCAGUGGUGAAAUUCUGCAGCUUAACUGUAGACUUGCCGUUGAUACUGUCAGUCUUGAGUAUGGUCAAGGCAGGCGGAAUGUGUAAUGUAGCGGUGAAAUGCUUAGAUAUUACACAGAACACCGAUUGCGAAGGCAGCUUGCUGGGCCAUUACUGACGCUGAUGCACGAAAGCGUGGGGAUCGAACAGGAUUAGAUACCCUGGUAGUCCACGCCGUAAACGAUGAUCACUCGCUGUUGGCGAUACACAGUCAGCGGCUAAGCAAAAGCAUUAAGUGAUCCACCUGGGGAGUACGGCCGCAAGGCUGAAACUCAAAGGAAUUGAC
rnacentral:rRNA from 1 species